rnacentral:lncRNA from 1 species
GUUGACCAUCCACUUUCUUGGAAAGUUAUGUAUAAUUUCUAUUUUAUCCUUAAUAAAAAUUAGGUCUUUAAUGCCUCUUUAAUGCUUCUUUAAUGCUGAAGGGUCUUUUUGGGAAAAAAUAAAAAUGGAGUGAUUUCUGCCUCAUGGGAAAGUAACUUUUCCAUGUUUCUCAUGUGGGAAUCAUAUUCCUAUGGGAAUACAACUUUUCUAUCUCUCGCCUUUGAAAACUCCAACCAAACAAGAGGUAUCUCAUUACUUUCUCGUUGACCACACUUUUCCCCCCUCUUUUCCCGCGAACCAAACGAGCCUUAGGGAUAUUUUCUGAUUUUUGUGCAUCCUGUUGCAUAUCCCUCACAUUAGCUGGAUACCCUUUACAAUCCUUCUUUAACAUUCUUCUGGCUUGUAAGGCUGAUACUAUUAGUGGAAGGGCAGUUCCUGUACUUCUCACAAAACUAACUCCAGCUGGUCCGGAAUGUGGAAGUUAACAAUCUUCUUAUGGUAGUCAACUGAGGCAUGGUAGGCAACUAGCUAAUCCAUUCCCAUAUAAUAUCAAAGUCCCUCAUUUCUAACACUAUCAUAUCUGCCACUAGCUCUUUAUCUCCUACUCUAACAACACAGAACUUGCAAACAUAAUUAGUGACUAAUACAUCUUCAACUGGGAUUUUAACAUAUAAUGCAGUUUCUAAAGGAUCACACAACAUAUCAUGUUUUCAACAAAUGUAGUGGAUACGAAAGAAUGAGUGACACCAGGAUCAAACAAAGCAUAUGCAUAAGUAUUGAGUACUGGUAUGGUACCUGCCACCACUGUAUUAGAGGCUUGAGCAUCUUGUUGGGUAAAUGGCAUACACUCGUCCCUGAGUCCAAGGUCUUUGGCUUUCUACUCUACUCUGUCCAGUAGAAGGGGUUUUGCUCACUUGUACUUGCGCUGAUCGGAAUAUAGAAGGUGCCGAAGCAGUCUAGCUCUCAACUGUUAUUGGACAAGCUGCUACUUUAUAACCCUUUUGUCCACAUCUAAAGUAAGCCCCGGUGAUCAAGGUCUAUUGUGCCGGUACCCAGACCGUACCGGUUGUC